rnacentral:rRNA from 1 species
AGAAACCUGCUCAGGCUUACACAUGCAAGUCCAGGGGCAGCAUGGGAGUUGCUUGCAGUUCCCGAUGGCGACCGGCGCACGGGUGAGUAACGCGUAUCCAACCUUCCCCUGACUCCGGAAUAGCCCGGUGAAAACCGGAUUAAUGCCGGAUGUGUUCCUUGGAGGACAUCUGACGAGGAGCGAAGGUUCACCGGUCAGGGAUGGGGAUGCGUCCGAUUAGCUUGUUGGCGGGGUAACGGCCCACCAAGGCGACGAUCGGUAGGGGUUCUGAGAGGAAGGUCCCCCACACUGGAACUGAGACACGGUCCAGACUCCUACGGGAGGCAGCAGUGAGGAAUAUUGGUCAAUGGGCGAGAGCCUGAACCAGCCAAGUAGCGUGGAGGAUGACGGCCCUACGGGUUGUAAACUCCUUUUAUCAGGGGAUAAAGUGCCCUACGCGUAGGGUUUUGCAGGUACCUGAUGAAUAAGGACCGGCUAAUUCCGUGCCAGCAGCCGCGGUAAU